CAAUAGCGUAUAUUAAAGUUGUUGCGGUUAAAAAGCUCGUAGUUGGAUUUCUGCUGAGAACGACCGGUCCGCCCUUUGGGUGUGUAUCUGGCUCUUUCUUGGCAUCUUCUUGGUGAGCGUUGCUGCACUUGACUGUGUGGAGCGCUACCCAGGACUUUUACUUUGAGGAAAUUAGAGUGUUUCAAGCAGGCAUACGCCUUGAAUACAUUAGCAUGGAAUAAUAAGAUAGGACCUCGGUUCUAUUUUGUUGGUUUCUAGAGCUGAGGUAAUGAUUAAUAGGGAUAGUUGGGGGCAUUCGUAUUUAACUGUCAGAGGUGAAAUUCUUGGAUUUGUUAAAGACGGACUAUUGCGAAAGCAUUUACCAAGGAUGUUUUCAUUGA
rnacentral:rRNA from 1 species